rfam:Gossypium arboreum cultivar AKA8401 contig_45500_1, whole genome shotgun sequence.
UAUUAAAAAUUUCAUCUCUUUGUACUGUUAAAAAAUGGGCUCGGCUAACAGAAUAACCAAAUAGUGACACUUGACGUGCCAUGUGUAUCGUAUGUUGACGUGCAGGGAUCAAUUUUUCAUCGUAAAAGUGGAUGAAAUUUUUAACA